GAUGAACGCUAGCGGCAGGCUUAAUACAUGCAAGUCGAGGGGCAGCAGGUCUGUAGCAAUACAGAUGCUGGCGACCGGCAAACGGGUGCGGAACACGUACUGAACCUUCCUUUAAGUGGGGAAUAGCCCAGGGAAACUUGGAUUAAUACCCCGUAAUAUAAUGAGGUGGCAUCACCUUAUUAUUAUAGCUCCGGCGCUUGAAGAUGGCAGUGCGGCUGAUUAGGUAGUUGGCGGGGUAACGGCCCACCAAGCCUGCGAUCAGUAACUGGUGUGAGAGCACGACCAGUCACACGGGCACUGAGACACGGGCCCGACUCCUACGGGAGGCAGCAGUAAGGAAUAUUGGGCAAUGGACGCAAGUCUGACCCAGCCAUGCCGCGUGGAGGAUGAAGGUCCUCUGGAUUGUAAACUUCUUUUAUAUGGGACGAAAAAGGGUCCUUCUAGAUCAACUGACGGUACCAUAUGAAUAAGCACCGGCUAACUCCGUGCCAGCAGCCGCCGCGGUAA
rnacentral:rRNA from 1 species